CUGGCUUUAGAGGUGCUUGAAGGGUAGAAAAUCAUGUCAGGAGCCAAUUGAAGGCCUUAACAACACACUCAGGCAUGGAACUCCAACAAUCCCCAAACAUAUUGUAGGUAAAAGGUUGUAAAUUGUUUAAUUUUAUUAAUUAAAUUGCUUUGUUAAGCUCCUACAAAUUUUAUGUAAGCCAAAAAGGUCAAAGACAAUAAUAAAGAGGCUAACCCUCUAAAGACCCACUCCUUGCCCACAUGGGAGUUGAGCCAUGACCAUCUAGUGCUCCUUGCCCACAGGUGAGUCAAGCCGAGGCUGUUUAAGCAUUCCU
rnacentral:lncRNA from 1 species